UUCCUUGUGGCUCAGUUGGUAAAGAAUCUGCCUGCAAUGCAGAAGACUCAGGUUCGAUUCCUGGGCCAGGGAA
rfam:TPA: Bos taurus chromosome 22, whole genome shotgun sequence.